UUCACAAUGUAAGUCAUUCUAGCAUUUCCCACAUUCAUAUUGAUGUAAUAUGAAUGUGGGAAAUGCUAGAAUGACUUACAUUGUGAAACG
rnacentral:misc_RNA from 1 species